CUUUAAGUUACGAGGGGGGGCACAUUUCACAUGACAUUGUUUCAGUAUCUAGCCAGGAUGUAAUAAGGUUGAAUAGCCACUUUGUACAUGUAUAUAACCACUGUCAUGCAUAAGACUCAUCUCCAGUGUUGGUUUUAAUUGACACAUUAUGAUGAUGAGGAGGAAAAUGAAGUAAGGGUGUUAAAACACUCAUUCCUUUGAAGAUCUGAGAGGGACUUUUGGAUGACUUUAUUUAACAUGCUGAAGACUCUGGGACAGAUGCAGGCAUCAGAUGAACUAUCAGAGCAGCAAGUGAGACAAAUGCUAUUUGAUUUGGAGUCCUCAUACAAUGCCUUCAACAGGAUUCUCCAUUCAGAGUAAACUAGGAAUGUGGAGGGGACAGGGACAGUAGACUAAACGAUUACUGGAGGGAUUUUUACAGAGGACAUUACAUGGUGGGAUAAAUAGGCUCACACUAGCAUUCAUCAAAAGCUUAAGAUGAUGAGAGAGAAUUUAUUCUCACACCUUUGGUGUUUUUUACUUACUUUUAAAUUAUUUUUUGCAAAUUUUUUUUGAUAUUUAAACUGAAAUGAAAAAAUGUGCUAGAGUGAGCCCUGGAAAUAGCAUGAUAUCUUGAAGCAUGAUAUUUGAAUAUUUUCAUUUCAUCAUUAUUUUGAAUCAGCAGUGCUAUUAACAUUUCAUGGACAUCCAAGACAAAGGACACUUGUAUCAUGAUUAUACAUACUUUUUAUUUAAAUAUUACAUCCGAUGUAUCAGCUGCAAUAAGAUUAUGAUAAUGAUGUGGUGUAAUAUAUAUUUUAAGAUCACUGAUGGAUCUAAUUAUGAAAUGUGCCACAUACCCCCGUGUUGUAUAAAACAUAACUGUGUGGAAUGACUAGGCGUCUAGACAUGAAGGAAAUACCAUUGAAUUCUUUAUUGCUUGUGAUGGUAAAGCUGCAGGCAGAAUAUAGUGCACACAUUAUCCCCUUCCUGCAGUUACAACAUCAUUGUAAAAUCAUUAAAACAUUCAUUUGAAAUAUUAACUUAAACAUUUAUUCAAACAAUAUAAAAUAUCUGAAAAUAUGAAGAUAGGCCAUUGCACAUUUCAGUUGGUGACAUUUUAAUUGCAGUUGUCAUUUAUUUAUUUAUUUUUUAUUUAUCCUGUCUUUAACAUGGAAUUAAUCAUUUAGAACAAUAGUUGAAAUGCUUGGAAUUACUACAAACCAUUUUAACCACAUUGGUUAUAUAUAUCAAUUGAGUUCAAUUGUCUCCUGUCCAUAAUAUGUACAUAUGUUGAAAUUAUUUUAAUAUAUAAUGUGCUAUAUAUGAUGACACGAGUACUUAUUGUUGUAUUUUAUGAAUAAUGAAAUGGCAUCCAACCCAGAAGAAGGCUGAAUCCUCUUUUUUCUCUCUUAGUUAUGUUGUUCCAGUUUAUGCUGGCAACUAGUCUACUAGAUAACUUGGUAAUACAUUUAAAUGCUUUAGAACUGAAAUUCUUUUAUAUCACCCUGAGCUUGUAUAUAUUCACGUAAUUUAUAAAUAUGCAGAACCUGUAUAAAAAUGGGUUGUAGUACCAGUACAAGUGUAAUCCAGUGCAUCAUUGUUGUAUAAUGAAAUCUGUGAAUGUUUAUUAAUUCCCCCUUUAAAUGUUAAUUGUAAAAUGAAAUAAAACAUUGGAUUUUGUGUUCAAAUGAA
rnacentral:lncRNA from 1 species